GACGAACGCUGGCGGCGUGCCUAAUACAUGCAAGUAGAACGCUGAAGAGAGGAGCUUGCUCUUCUUGGAUGAGUUGCGAACGGGUGAGUAACGCGUAGGUAACCUGCCUUGUAGCGGGGGAUAACUAUUGGAAACGAUAGCUAAUACCGCAUAACAAUGGAUGACACAUGUCAUUUAUUUGAAAGGGGCAAUUGCUCCACUACAAGAUGGACCUGCGUUGUAUUAGCUAGUAGGUGAGGUAAUGGCUCACCUAGGCGACGAUACAUAGCCGACCUGAGAGGGUGAUCGGCCACACUGGGACUGAGACACGGCCCAGACUCCUACGGGAGGCAGCAGUAGGGAAACUUCGGCAAUGGGGGCAACCCUGACCGAGCAACGCCGCGUGAGGGAAGAAGGGUUUCGGAUCGUAAAGCUCUGUUGUAAGUCAAGAACGGGUGUGAGAGUGGAAAGUUCACACUGUGACGGUAGCUUACCAGAAAGGGACGGCUAACUACGUG
rnacentral:rRNA from 1 species